AUUGAACGCUGGCGGCAUGCCUUACACAUGCAAGUCGAACGGUAACAGGUCUUCGGAUGCUGACGAGUGGCGAACGGGUGAGUAAUGCAUCGGAACGUGCCCAGUCGUGGGGGAUAACUGCUCGAAAGAGCAGCUAAUACCGCAUACGACCUGAGGGCGAAAGCGGGGGACCGUAAGGCCUCGCGCGAUUGGAGCGGCCGAUGUCAGAUUAGCUAGUUGGUGUGGUAAAGGCCUACCAACGCAACGAUCUGUAGUUGGUCUGAGAGGACGACCAGCCACACUGGGACUGAGACACGGCCCAGACUCCUACGGGAGGCAGCAGUGGGGAAUUUUGGACAAUGGGCGCAAGCCUGAUCCAGCAAUGCCGCGUGCAGGAAGAAGGCCUUCGGGUUGUAAACUGCUUUUGUCAGGGAAGAAAUCCUCUGGGUUAAUACCUCGGGGGGAUGACGGUACCUGAAGAAUAAGCACCGGCUAACUACGUGCCAGCCGCCGCGGUAAGAC
rnacentral:rRNA from 1 species